rnacentral:rRNA from 1 species
UAAUACGGAGGGGGCUAGCGUUAUUCGGAAUUAUUGGGCGUAAAGGGCGCGUAGGCGGCCCGGUAAGUCAAAGGUGAAAUCCCUCGGCUCAACUGAGGAACUGCCUUUGAAACUGUCGGGCUUGAGGCCGGGAGGGGGUAGCGGAAUUCCCAGUGUAGCGGUGAAAUGCGUAGAUAUUGGGAGGAACACCGGUGGCGAAGGCGGCUACCUGGACCGGUUCUGACGCUGAUGCGCGAAAGCGUGGGUAGCAAACAGGAUUAGAUACCCUGGUAGUCCACGCUGUAAACGAUGGGUGCUCGGUGUCGCGGGUAUCGACCCCUGCGGUGCCUUAGCUAACGCGUUAAGCACCCCGCCUGGGGAGUACGGUCGCAAGGCUG